rnacentral:rRNA from 1 species
AACAGGAUUAGAUACCCUGGUAGUCCACGCCCUAAACGAUGAAUACUCGAUGUUAGCGAUAUACAGUUAGCGUCUAAGCAAAAGCAUUAAGUGAUCCACCUGGGGAGUACGGCCGCAAGGCUGAAACUCAAAGGAAUUGACGGGGGCCCGCACAAGCGGAGGAACAUGUGGUUUAAUUCGAUGAUACGCGAGGAACCUUACCUGGGCUUAAAUGUAGAGUGCAUGGGGUAGAAAUAUCCCUUUCCUUCGGGACUCUUUGCAAGGUGCUGCAUGGUUGUCGUCAGCUCGUGCCGUGAGGUGUCGGGUUAAGUCCCAUAACGAGCGCAACCCUUAUCGUUAGUUGCCAGCGGGUAAUGCCGGGAACUCUAACGAAACUGCCGGUGUAAACCGUGAGGAAGGUGGGGAUGACGUCAAAUCAGCACGGCCCUUAUGUCCAGGGCUACACACGUGUUACAAUGGCCGGUACAGAGGGCAGCUACCUGGAGACAGGAUGCGAAUCUCCAAAGCCGGUCUCAGUUCGGAUCGGAGUCUGCAACUCGACUCCGUGAAGCUGGAUUCGCUAGUAAUCGCGCAUCAGCCAUGGCGCGGUGAAUACGUUCCCGGGCCUUGUACACACCGCCCGUCAAGCCAUGGAAGUUGGGGGUACCUGAAGUCCGUAACCGUAAGGAGCGGCCUAGGGUAAAACUAGUGACUGGGGCUAAGUCGUAACAAGGUAACC